AAACUAUCAAGGGACUCAGAUAUUCAGAAUAUCAGUUUUGUCUGAAUUUAACAACCACCCAUCUCAAUUCCAUCCGAAUGGUACAGUCCUGUGAAUAUAAGAACAGCAGCUAAGACACAUAAUCUCCGCACUCUAGAAAUAACACCCUCCAGAAAGCCUGAUGCUACCCCUCUACCCCGAACGAGCAUCUUUCCCUUCAGUGAGCAGGUUUAUGGGUUUAUAUUUACUGGCAUGGAAUCUCAUCCCAUUUCAUGCAGUCCACUGCCUCAAUGUCUCCGGGUCACUUUGGAUGCCUUCUGCUGGGUGUUUGCUGUCCAUCUGGUUAAAAUCAAU